UUCCUACAUGCUCCCACUCAUCAGA
rnacentral:piRNA from 1 species